rnacentral:rRNA from 1 species
AUACGGAAGGCAGCAGUGGGGAAUAUUGCACAAUGGGCGCAAGCCUGAUGCAGCCAUGCCGCGUGUAUGAAGAAGGCCUUCGGGUUGUAAAGUACUUUCAGUCGUUGAGGUAAGGUGUUAAGGUUAAUAACCUUAGCAAUUGACGUUAGCGACAGAAGAAGCCACCGGCUAACUCCGUGCCAGCAGCCGCGGUAAUACGGAGGGUGCGAGCGUUAAUCGGAAUUACUGGGCGUAAAGGGCACGCAGGCGGUUAAUUAAGUUGGAUGUGAAAUCCCCGGGCUUAACCUGGGAAUGGCAUUCAAGACUGGUUAGCUAGAGUCUUGUAGAGGGGGGUAGAAUUCCAUGUGUAGCGGUGAAAUGCGUAGAGAUGUGGAGGAAUACCGGUGGGCGAAAGGCGGCCCCCUGGGACAAAGACUGACGCUCAUGUGCGAAAGCGUGGGGAGCAAACAGGGAUUAGAUACC